UGUUUCAACUAUUCUAUAAGGUCUUUCCCAAUUUGGAAAUAAUUUUUUUUGAUCCAAAAGUUUUGAGAUUUUUGCUUUCCUUAAGACCAAAUCUCCUGAUCAGAAGACCUUCGACUUGACUUUUGCAUUAUAAUAUCGGACUAUCCUUUAUCAAUAUGCAGCCCUUCGAACUUGAGCUUGCUAUCAGACUUUUGAAAGUAGAUCUAAAUCUAUUCUCUGACAUUCAGAAUUGCUCGACUCACUGUAUUAUUU
rnacentral:lncRNA from 1 species